rnacentral:rRNA from 1 species
AUGCCUCUCUGGCUGAGUGAGGCCUGUCGCAAUGGCGAAUCGGAUUCUUCUUGUUCCGCAUUUGUCAUCCUCCAGUUUUGCAAGAAAAGACUGACAAAGAAAUCGUUCGUACAUUAUGCAAUCUUUUUGACAGAACCUAUUCCUCCGCUUUUUGUCUCCGGUUUAUCAAAACAGAGACACAUUCUCUUCAUCUCCACUUUUCAUCUCCUGUUAUCGAAACAGAAAAACAUGUUCUCUGAGGAGAACAUUAACUCGAACCAGGAUCAAGAUGUCAUGAUUCUGACAGAGAAACUUACAUUCCCACAAGGCCACCACCCAAUAACAUGCCUGGUAUAUUCAGACACACAGCUAAAUGGAACAGCAACGACAACAAAUGCUGAGGUGCAUCGAGAUUCUUGCGCAAAGCUCAAACCAUGCAAACUGCAGAUUCGAACAAGCUCGAAUUCAGAACCAUGGGCAAUGUUUCUCCCUGUCUCUCAAGAUCCCACAGCCAGCACCCAAGACUCUUACCAGUUUUUAUUGGCGUAUAUGCCUGCCUGA